AACGUAGGACACGAGCGUUAUCCGGAGUUACUGGGCGUAAAGGGCGGGUAGGUGGUGCGAUAAUACUGGUGUGAAAGCCUUCGGCUUAACCGAGGGAGGACACUGGUGACUGUCGGACUUGAGGCAGAUAGAGGGGUGUAGAAUUCCGGGUGUAGUGGUGAAAUGCGUAGAGAUCCGGAGGAAUACCAGAGGCGAAGGCGGCACCCUGGGUCUGACCUGACACUGAUCCGCGACAGCAUGGGGAGCGAACGGG
rnacentral:rRNA from 1 species